GACGAACGCUGGCGGCGUGCCUAAUACAUGCAAGCUGAGCGCUGAAGGUUGGUACUUGUUCCAACUGGAUGAGCAGCGAACGGGUGAGUAACGCGUGGGUAAUCUGCCUUUGAGCGGGGGACAACAUUUGGAAACGAAUGCUAAUACCGCAUAACAACUUUAAACACAAGUUUUAAGUUUGAAAGAUGCAAUUGCUUCACUCAAAGAUGAUCCCGCGUUGUAUUAGCUAGUUGGUGAGGUAAAGGCUCACCAAGGCGAUGAUACAUAGCCGACCUGAGAGGGUGAUCGGCCAAAAUGGGACGGAGACAAGGCCCAAGCUCCUACGGGAGGGAGCAGGAGGGGAUCUUCGGCAAUGGGAGAAAGUCUGAACGUGCAACGCCGCGGGAGUGCAGAAGGUUUUCGGAUCGGAAAACUCUGUUGGUAGGGAAGAACGGUGGUGAGAGUGGAAAGCUCAUAAAGUGACGGUAACUACACAGAAAGGGACGGCUAACUACGUG
rnacentral:rRNA from 1 species